rnacentral:lncRNA from 1 species
GCGCCGCGGAUCCGCCCCUUUAGCGGACGUUUUCCUGGCGCUCGUGGCUGGCGGAUCUUGGGGGUCGUGGCCGGACUUUGUGUCGUGAAACAUGAGGUCCCUUCUGACACAGUCGUUUGGAGGCCAGCUGUCUAUAGGACAGUGCAUUCGUUCGCACUUACCCUUUUGAAGACAUGCUUCUGGUAUUUUCAUUUCGACCGAACCAACUUUUUCUUCAGAUUUCAGCGUUGUGGGCGAACUUCACAUGAGAUGGAAGAUUUCCGAGGAAUAGCAGAAGAGUCAUUUCCAAGCUUUUUAGCCAAUUCACUACUUGGUAAUAGUGAGGUUUUGGGAAAUGUCACUCUUUCAUCAAAUUUUGGCUUGCCCAUUGCUGUUUCUACACUUGCCAGGAGCAGACCCAGCACUGACAACAGGUGUCCUGAUGUCCAGGAAUCAUACUUAAUUGAAGAGAGGUUUUCAGUUCCUUCUGCAUCAUCUCCCAGUUGCCAGAGUGACAACCCUGAGCCAAGAGAAAGAUUACGACUCAGCUUUCAGGGUGAUGAGUGAGUUCUUGCCUUAGACUUGGGGAAAAUGGAUGAUUUUGUCUUUGAUUAUUACUUCUUAGUGUCUGUAAGAAAGAUCUUUCUGUACAUCUCUCUUAACUACAUUUUUAGCCUUUAAAUUUUCUUUUUUCUGAUUGUAAAUGAAACAGUCAUUGAAAAAAGUAAAAAUACUGGCAGUUGUUAAGAUGACAAUGGUAAUUAUCUGUUAACUAGAGAAGAGACAGAUGCUGAUUACAUUCUCUUCCCUUUUCAUUUCUUUCUUUUUUUUUUUUAAAUAUUACAUUGCAGGGGAGGGUGUGUGUGUGUGAUGGACAUGUGUGCUUGAUCAUGGAAACAUGCCAUGGCACAUGUGUGGAUGUGAGAGUCUAUUACUGGAGUCUAUUUUUUCUUUCCACUGUACUGGUCCUGGGAAAUAGGUUUGGUGGCAAAUAACUUUUAUCUAUUGAUUCAUCUUGCUGGCCUAGUAUGAUUUUUGAUCUUUCAUUUUAGAGGUAAAAAUAAUUUAUACAUUUGUGUGCAUACACGGAUUCUGAAAAACCAGAAUCUCUAAAACUAAAGCUUGACUUGACGUUCUUGGUGGUUUUAGUGUAGACAGUCUUGAAGGUUUCUGUUUAACUCUGCAUUUUACUAUUGGCAAGGUUGAAUGAGCUAAGACAUUAUUCAUUACUUUCAUUUAUAUUGUAAAUUGCCUCUUGAUAGACGUUAUAAACAUGUUUUCUUUUUAGAAAUUAUUUAAGCCGGGUGUGGUGGCGCACGCCUUUAGUCCCAGCGCUUGGGAGGCAGAGACAGGUGGGUUUCUGAGUUUCGAGGCCAGCCUGGUCUACAAAGUGAGUUCCAGGACAGCCAGGGCUAAGAGCUACACAGAGAAACCCUGUCUCGAAAA